UGAAGUUUUUACGUCGGAAUUCAAGCUCGCCGGAUUCUGGAAAUUUUCCGGCCACCGACGCUUUCGAUCAAGAUAUCUCGAGCUGUAGAGCUUCGUUUUGAGUGAUUCUUGAACCAGUGAGUUCGUCUUUAAGUUCUGAACAAGUCUCCUGAAGGAAUCGAAGCGAAAGGAGGACAUUUUUACGUUGAUCGGAGCUUCGCCGACUUCUGCAAAUUCUCGCCGGUUUCUGGAAAAAAUUCCGGCCACCUCGACUGUUUUAGGUGAUUGACGGUCUCCCUUGGGUGAACGAUUUCGGUGUGUAUUGUGUUGAAUUGAAGACGCAGCGGGAAUAUCGAGCGGGUAAUCCUGCAGGUCAGGAGAAUCAGGGCGGUGAUCGAGCGGGUUAGAGUAUUUGUUAUAGUUUUACAGCAUUUGUAAUAGUGAGGUGAGUUAAGCUCAUUGAGCCUUACAAUUUGAUUUGGUGAGAGUGUGUUGUAAUAAUUAACUUGAGGAUUUGAUUUAUUGUAAUAUUGAGAGGUGUGAAGUGUGGUUGUUUGUGAGAAAAAAAUUCAGGACGUUUAUUCUA